rnacentral:rRNA from 1 species
UACGUAGGGUGCAAGCGUUUAAUCGGAAUUACUGGGCGUAAAGGGCGCGUAGGCGGUCAGCACAAGUCAGUUGUGAAAUCUCCGGGCUUAACUCGGAAAGGUCAACUGAUACUGUGCGACUAGAGUGCGGAAGGGGCAACUGGAAUUCUCGGUGUAGCGGUGAAAUGCGUAGAUAUCGAGAGGAACACCUGCGGCGAAGGCGGGUUGCUGGGCCGACACUGACGCUGAUGCGCGAAAGCCAGGGGAGCGAACGGG